AGGCGUGUGAAAUGGUGAAAUAUGGCUUGGACGUUAACGGAAAUCGGUUCGAAAUUAAUCU
rnacentral:sRNA from 1 species